rnacentral:rRNA from 1 species
CUUACCGGGUCGGACACACUGAGGAUUGACAGGUGUUUCGUUUUUUAAUUUCAGUGGCUAAAAAGUUUUUAUUGCUUCGGCUUUAGAAGCUUCGCUGAAAGUUUCAAAAAACAUUUCAAAUAUGCUAGUCCUUUCAUGAUUGUGUGAUAGGUGGUGCAUGGCCGUUCUUAGUUCGUGGAGUGAUCUGUCUGCUUAAUUGCGUUUCACUUAUGGCUCGCAUGUGUUUUUAUUAUUUCUGUGACCUUAUUUCUGUUAUACACGGAUUUAUAGCGUCCGGAGUGGUAUUCACGGUGAAGCCUCGAAGGCAACGAACGUGACCGCAACCUCUUGUUGCCUCUCUUGUACGAGCUGUAUAGAAUCUUAUUUUUUUUCUUCUUUUCGGAGAGGGGGAGAAAUAGUUUUCUGUCAGGUUCCGUACACAAUUCCAUACUUGGAUACUAUAACGUUUGUGGAUGUCUUGCUUCAGUCAAAAGCUGUUGUAGGCUCUAUAUUCGUUUUGUAUUUUCAUUUUGGUUACUUGCAGUAGAGGGAAACUAGAGGGACCGCUGACACUUCUUAAACCAGAGGAAGGUUGCGGCAAUAACAGGUCUGUGAUGCCCUUAGAUGUUCCGGGCUGCACACGUGCUACAAUGAUUAUUGCAGUGAGCAUCAUACCCAGUUCGUGUACACAGUAAUACAUUACUAUAUCACGUAAUGCUGUUUUAUUGAAUUUUUUUUUUUUGACGUUUCGGCGUUUGAAAGAGAAAAUUGUUAUGGUAAACACUUUGCGAUAGUAGUGUCCUGAUGUAUUUUUACGACUAGGCUACUUCGAAAGUAAGUAGCUAAUCAAUUCGAAGUAAUGAUUUCCUUUUGCACAAAAACAUAUGUAUCAGCUUUUGUAUACUCUGCCUUGCGUAGAUGCUUAUACAAAUCUUGGUGCAUGUGCAUGUUCCAUAAAUUCGUGGUGGGGACAGACCAUUGUUAAUUGUUGGUCUCGGUCUCAACUAGGAAUGCCUUGUACGGGUCUUUGGUUCAACAGACCACCCGGAAUAUGUCCCUGCCCUUUGUACACACCGCCCGUCACUCUUACCGAUGGACUUCUCUGUGAGUUUGAGGGACUGGAAUCUUCUUUCUAUGGAAACUUAAACGAACAGUGUGGUCUAAAGGAAAGAGAAGUCGUAACAAGGCGUCGGUAGGUGAACC